rnacentral:lncRNA from 1 species
AAAGAAAGAAAGUCCUUGGAAAGGUGUGUGUCCCAGGUGAUCUCAUUCGUCAGAACCUGGUUCGUUUUCAUUGAGGUUGUGAGAAAACUACGUAUACGUGGACCAACAAAUUAUAGAACAUUAAUUAUGGUCCCUACUACCUAUCCUUUCAGUUAGUCAGUCGUUUUGUGUUUGUGUUUAUGCAAUUUCAAUGUAAUUUUUCUUAUAUGCACUAUCUUGAGCAACUAGCUAGGCAUAUGCCAAUAAAAUUUGUAUUUGUAAAUAUCAGCUCAAACUCAUAUGGAGAUUGAUGGAAAAAAAUUAUUUUCACUGGAUGAGUGUGAAUUUGAGUUUUCUACGUUUUUGAAAGAUCAGGAUGAGAUGGAUAAUAAUUUACAAUAGUAGGUAUCCCAGUUCAUCCCUAAAUCUUAAUUAUUUGAACUUUAUUUUAGUUAUUAUAUUCUAUUAUUUUAAUUUUUUUUUGAAUUAGUUUAACUCUUUUUUUAUUGUAAUUUUUUAAUUUGGUCAAAUUAUUUUUAAAUAAAGUUUGAAAUCAAGUGUAGAACUAUGUUAUUAUAUUGAUAUUGUUGUAUUAACUUUGUAAUAAAUUUUUGAAAUAUUUAUUUUAUUAAGUUGUCAACCUAUGAUUAUUGUCAUAUAUCUAUAAAAUUUAAUUUCAUAUUA